rnacentral:misc_RNA from 1 species
CAACCCUCAAGCCCCGCUUGGUGUUGGGCCCUGCCCGCGUGGCCGGCCCUAAAGACAGUGGCGGCGCCGUUCGGCCCUAAGCGUAGUACAGCUCUCGCUCUAGGGUCUCGCGGUGGCCGGCCAGAACCCCCAACUCUCGU